CCACUUGAGUUCGUAGAACUUCUUAGUUCCGAGGCCUCAGCAAAUGGGUUGGUUAAGUUCUCCUUUUUCAUCGAUCUUCCAAAGAUUGAUGUCACCCUGAUCUAAAAUCAAAAGUGAUAGCAAUACAGAGUAUGCUGGUCCUUCAGUUUUUUAGCCAGAUUUAUGGCUCCAGUGCUACGAUAGGACUGGACCAUUAGUGGAGGGUGCCA
rnacentral:lncRNA from 1 species